AUGUUGUUUGAUCAGACUCAGAGAGCCAUCAGCCAGCAGCUCACCAACCUCUGCACACAGUUCCUGCCUCAGCUGCUGGAGACCAGGAGGGAGUUUGUGCGGAUCGGGGAGGACCUGGAGACGGCGGCGGCGAAGAACGCUCAGGUGUCUCGGCACAAAGCCGGAGACGCUGAGCGGGCGAGUCACCUGCUGCUCGCCACACGUAAAUGUUACCAACACUUCGCUCUGGACUACUGUCUGCAGCUCAACACGUUUAAGACGCAGCAGAGAGUCGACAUCUUAAACUCAGUGAGUUUAUAAAGUUUACAGUCUG